rnacentral:rRNA from 1 species
GUUUGAUCCUGGCUCAGAAUCAACGCUGGCGGCGUGCCUAACACAUGCAAGUCGAACGCGGUUACUUCGCAAGAGGUAACUGAGUGGCGAACGGGUGAGUAACACGUGGGUGACCUACCUUCGAAUGGGGGAUAACGUCCCGAAAGGGACGCUAAUACCGCAUAACAUCCUGCUUUUGAACAGGUGGAGAUCAAAGCCGGGGAUCGCAAGACCUGGCGUUUGAAGAGGGGCCCGCGUCUGAUUAGCUAGUUGGUGAGGUAACGGCCCACCAAGGCGACGAUCAGUAUCCGGCCUGAGAGGGCGGACGGACACACUGGGACUGAGACACGGCCCAGACUCCUACGGGAGGCAGCAGUGGGGAAUUGUUCGCAAUGGGCGCAAGCCUGACGACGCAACGCCGCGUGGAGGAUGAAGGUCUUCGGAUUGUAAA